rnacentral:lncRNA from 1 species
GUUAUCAUCCUCAAAGCACAAAUAAAGAUGACUUAACUUGUAAAGAAGGUCUUGUGGCACACGUGCAUUGCUCAACAACAUAAUAUUUUCCUCAUUGAGUAUCAAAUUCUUCAGAUUGGGAGAAGCCUAACAAUUGAGGCCAAACAAAUUCAAAAGAAAAAUGCAUAGUUGAUAUUAGAUAUAAGCUAUAGAAGGAAAAUAUAUAAUGAAAAGAAGAGAAAGCACAAAAAUGUAAAAAUGCUAAUGCUUCGUUACCAAUAUUUCAACCGAGAAUAAAGGUUGUUGUAGCAGGCUAAUUGGAGCCUCUAUAACUCCUUCUUUCUCACCAUCGUCAAAGUUUGAUGUGAAUAGCUUCAACUUAGGACAAAAAACCACUUUUAAUGUAUCUAGCAAGGGACAUUCCAUAUGAUGUUUUCCAGGAUAAAAGCAACUCAAGACUGGCAUACUCGAAAGAGUUAGAGAGGACAAAUAAGGGAAUUCAAACAUUAGUGUCGUUCCAUGUUCCAUUCCAUCUUCCUUUCCAACUAUUUCUAUUAAUUUCUCACACUCAUCUAUAUAAAGUUUCUCAAGCUUCUCAAGAUUUUUAGCAGAGGAUGAAGAGAACAGUGUUACCAAGUUUCCACAAGCACUGACAACCACUUCUUGCAAAUAUGGAAAACUGACAAAUCCUCUAGGAUUUUCCUUCCAUAGACAUUUCACAUUUGGCAAGUUUUGUAAAAUAAGCUUUUUCAAAGGACAAAGUAUUCCCUUCUCACUCUCAUCUAUGUCAAAUAUUACUUGCACUGCGCCAGAACUAUGCACAUUCAAUUCUUCUAAGUUAUUUAAGUAAGGAAGUACAUGAGAGGGAAUUAUAAUAUGUCUAUUACAUGCUGCAUCAAAUUCCAAUUUAUUGAAACUGCCAAAAAAGUUUUCCGAAAUAACGGGUUUUUUGUGCUGAACUUUCGCCAUCUCAAGAUAAUCGUCAAGAAUCAUGAGCUUUGAAUAGUUGAAAAAACCCUAAAAGAAAAAAAAAACACAAUGACAGGUUAAUAGACAACUAUACUUUACAUUUAAUUGAGAUCACUUGGAUUUAUCUUUCAUUGUUGAAAUCUAUAUAUAUUUACAUUAUUAGUUGUGAAAUAUAAAAUUAUCUUAUAUUAAAGUUCAUUUUUAUUUUUUAGUUAAAUUAUGAGCUUAUUGUCUACCUUUAUUAGGUAUGCCAACCAUUUCUGAUAUAAAAAAGAGAGCAAAAUAACAAUAAAAUAUGGUUAACGGUUUUAGCGCGGAUGAAAUUAGGGAUAUUAAGGGGACCGCGGGUUUAACUACUUCAUCUUUAUCCAACUUAAAGGAGUGGAUGUGGGGGGCAUGUGGAAGGAGGAACCAUAUUAGGUUAGGUCGGAAGCAAAAAAACUGUUUGAAGAAAUAUUUUCUGCCACAAAGGAUUACGGGAUUAGAUUUGGUGAAGUGGAGUUUAAAUCUAUAUCCAGGGAGGAUAAUAGAUUCUUAAUAACUGGCUUUUCAGAGGAAGAAAUAAAGGAUGAAGAAAUAAAGGAAGUGGUGUGGAUUUGUGACACUCGAAGAAACGGGACCAGAUGGUUUUAACCUUAAUUUCAUAAAGAAUAACUGGGAAGUCUUGAAGAAAGAUAUUAUUGAGGCGGUUAGACAAUUCCAAGUUACGGGUAGAAUCCCUAAAGGCGGCAAUGCUUCUUUCAUAACUCUUGUACCUAAGGUGAGAGACUCCCUUCAAUUAGAUCAGUAUAGGCCUAUUUCAUUGCGUAUAAGAUUAUCUCGAAGGUCCUAGCGAGUAGAAUUAAGAAGGUUCUGUCAUCGAUUAUUGAUGAGAACCAGUCAGCUUUUUUAAUUUUUUUCAUGUUGAUGGAUGGAGGAGAACUGGGAGGUACUACGGGUGCUUUAUUAGUGUUAUCAUUGCAAAUUUCAUGAUGGAAGUCUGCUCUGUUUAAGGGGAUGGCUUCCUGGACUAAUUUGGUGUGGUGGUUUAGGGUACUACUAUAUUGUUGCAUUUAGUACUGCCUUGUUCUGUUAUGCAGGUGUGAGGUAAGCAAAGGUAGCCAUACGGAGUCGCUAAUGGUUUGGUAACAGGGCCAGAAUAUCUUUAUGACAAUACCAUAUUGUAUCAGCUAAGUGGGCUCUAAAUAGAAGUAAUGGGAUGGUGGAAAUGUAAUCUAUAUAUGAUGCAGCUUGGAUGUUUAUUUGUUCUGUGGUACGUGGGACUUUUUCCAAGCAGUUGAAGACUUUGUUUAGUUUGGCCUAGUCUAUUUGGUCUUUUAGAUGCGUCAAUCUCCAUGUACAGAUACUUAGGCCAUGGUUUUGCCCAACUUCUGUUAUAUUAGUUUUAGCUUUUUUACCUGUUAUCUAUUUGGUUUGUUUUUUUUAAGAUGGGUUUUGUUUAAGGGUUGGGACACCCUAAAAUAUUUCUUUUAAUUUAUUUAUUUUUUUGAUAAAAAAAAAUAUUUUAUGUAUCCAUGAAUUAAAAUUAAUUAUUUCAAAGAUAAAGUUUAUGAUUGUGUUAGGUUGAUUUCGUUGUAUUUUUGUUUAUUGUUUUCUUCACAAAGCCUUUUGAUCAGAGAAAAACUUCAAAAAAUGUGUCACGUAUAUAUCACUAGUAAAAUUACAUUUGAGUAACAAUAGAAGUAAGAAAGAAUGUGUCCAAAAGGUUCUCUUCGGGUUUAGCAACAUUCUUUUCAAAGAAUAGCAUUAUGCAGGUGGUUGUCAUUAUAAUUAUAAGAUUCAUGUUACUCUUUUUGUGGUAAUUAGUGAGUGGAAGGAAGGGAAAGGAAAAGGGAAAUAGGAAUGGAGUGGACCCUUUUGCUAUUAAAGAAACUAAUUUGUUGUUUUAUCAUUUUUAUUAAAUAAGUGAUGUUUUCUUUAUAAUAAAAUACAAACUAAUUAAUGUCCAUAAUUUUAGAAUUAGUAAGAAAAUAUUUUAUAACAAAAAAAGGAAAGGUAAUAACUAAUGUAAUAUUCAUCUUCAGGAAAGAAGAAUAUAUUUUGCUUUUAUUUAAUAUUUUAAUAUAUUGUUGAAAAUAAUAUUAUAAAUAUUUUGUAAUAAGAUAUGAUAUUAAUGUAGAAAACUCUAUAUAAAAUAAUAAAUUAGUUAUUGUUGUAAAUAAUAUGAGGUUUUGGCUUAAACAAGGUCAUAUCAUUAAAAUUAGUUAGAUAUUAAAACAUAACAGUUGAAUUUGAGGAAUGAAGUGCUACCUUUUGGUGAAACAACCUCUGAAUCGUUAUGUUGAGAUUGCCGUCGAAUGUUAAAUCAAAAUCCUUUGAUGUUUGAAUCCCCAAUAAAGCUGGAGCUUUUAUGACUCCUUCAGAGAAAGUUUCCAUAUUAGGACAUUUAAUUACCUUCACCGCUUCCAAACACGAAAAUUGCAAAGUGGCAUUCCCUGAAUAAAAGCUCACUAGACUUCGUAAGCAAUUUAGCUCAAUCAAUCUCAGUCCUCCAAAUACCAUCUCAUCAAAACCAUCUUCAUCUUCACAUUUUGCAAUUUCUUUUAUUGACUCACAGUCCAUUAUUUGUAAGUUCUCAAGUUUUACCAAACUUUUGAAUGUUGCAAAGGUGAAUAAAUACUCCAUCCUUUCACAGUUCAUCACAAAUAACCUUUUAAGAUUAAUGAAGGACACUGUAGACGAAACUAAUUUUUCUACCUGAGGGCACUUGUGGAGAUUUAACAUUUCAAGCUUUUCAGAGUAUGGUUGUACCCAUGGAUGCUCUAAACCUACCCACUCUAACUCAUUUAGCUGAAACAAGUUUAAUUCUUUCAAUCUCACAAGUGUUGUGUCAUGAACUUGAAGCUUUUGAGAGGGGAAUAUCUCCUUCAGACCAAAGCAUUUUUGAACACGAAGAACUUCUAAAUUGGGUACCUUGUGAAAGAAAUCAAAUGGCAAAGUACCUUUCUCAUUGUUAUCAUCCUCAAAACUCAAAUGAAGACCAUUUAACUUGUGAAGAAGGUCUUGUGGCAAACGUGCAUCGCUCAACAACAUAAUAUUUUCCUCAUUGAGUGCCAGAAUCCUCAGGUUGGAAGAAGCCUAACAAUUGAUGCCAAACAAAUUGAAAAGAAAAAUAUAUAGUUGAUAUUAGAUAGAAGCUAUAGAAGGAAAUGAAAAGAACAGAAAGCAC